rnacentral:tRNA from 1 species
GCUGUAGUGGCGUAAUGGUAGCGUUCAAGACUGUGGAUCUUGAGGCGCGGGUUCGAUUCCCGCCUACGGCC